rnacentral:rRNA from 1 species
GACGAACGCUGGCGGCGUGCUUAACACAUGCCAGUCGAACGGAAAGGCCCUGCUUUUGUGGGGUGCUCGAGUGGCGAACGGGUGAGUAACACGUGAGUAACCUGCCCUUGACUUUGGGAUAACCUCAGGAAACUGGGGCUAAUACCGGAUAGGAGCUCCUGCUGCAUGGUGGGGGUUGGAAAGUUUCGGCGGUUGGGGAUGGACUCGCGGCUUAUCAGCUUGUUGGUGGGGUAGUGGCUUACCAAGGCUUUGACGGGUAGCCGGCCUGAGAGGGUGACCGGACACAUGGGGAAUGAGAUACGGCCCAGACUCCUACGGGAGGCAGCAGUGGGGAAUAUUGAACAAUGGGCGGAAGCCUGAUGCAGCAACGCCGCGUGCGGGAUGACGGCCUUCGGGUUGUAAACCGCUUUCGCCUGUGACGAAGCGUGAGUGACGGUAAUGGGUAAAGAAGCACCGGCUAACUACGUG